rnacentral:rRNA from 1 species
CAAGUCGAACGAAUCCCCACGGGCUUGCUCGUGGGGGGAAGUGGCGAAAGGGUCAGUAAGGCGUGGGUAACCUACCCCGGGGAUCGGGAUAGCCUUCCUAACGGAUGGGUAAUACCGAGCGAUCUGACGAGGAGACAUCUCUUUGUCAGGAAAUGAAUUUCGCCUCGGGAGGGGCUCACGUGCUAUUACCUAGUUGGCGAGGCAACGGCUCACCAAGGGAAAGAUGGCUAGCGGGUGUGAGAGCACGACCCGCGCCACUGGCACUGCGACACUGGCCAGACUCCUACGGGAGGCUGCAGACGAGGAUCUUCGGCAAUGGGCGCAAGCCUGACCGAGCGACGCCGCGUGCGCGAUGAAGGCCUUCGGGUUGUAAAGCGCUGUCGAGGGGGAGGAAGCUCCGCAAGGGGUUGACCUAUCCCUGGAGGAAGCACGGGCUAAGUUCGUGCCAGCAGCCGCGGUAAGACGAACCGUGCGAACGUUGUUCGGAAUCACUGGGCUUAAAGGGCGCGUAGGCGGACUGCCAAGUCCGGGGUGAAAUCGUUCGGCCCAACCGGACAAUGGCCCUGGAUACUGGCGGUCUGGAGGGGGGUAGGGGCAGCUGGAACUUCCGGUGGAGCGGUGAAAUGCGUUGAUAUCGGAAGGAACGCCGGUGGCGAAAGCGAGCUGCUGGACCUUUUCUGACGCUGAGGCGCGAAAGCCAGGGGAGCAAACGGGAUUAGAUACCCCGGUAGUCCUGGCCCUAAACGAUGGGUACUGGGUAGUGGACUAGACAUGGGUUCCCUGCCGAAGCCAAAGUGCUAAGUACCCCGCCUGGGGAGUAUGGUCGCAAGG